UGCGGAUGAUAAUCCGGUUUGCCAAAUGAAGAGGUUGACACUUAUAAUGCUAAUUUAAGUCUACCUAAUGAAGAAACCUCAGCUCCAAAAAAGAG